UACGUAGGGACCAAGCGUUGUUCGGAUUUACUGGGCGUAAAGGGCGCGUAGGCGGCAAUUCAAGUCAGUUGUGAAAUCUCCGAGCUUAACUCGGAACGGUCAACUGAUACUGUUUUGCUAGAGUGCAGAAAGGGCAACCGGAAUUCUUGGUGUAGCGGUGAAAUGCGUAGAUAUCAAGAGGAACACCUGAGGCGAAGGCGGGUUGCUAGGCUGACACUGACGCUGAGGCGCGAAAGCUAGGGUAGCAAACAGG
rnacentral:rRNA from 1 species